rnacentral:lncRNA from 1 species
UUUUACAGUAAGCUCUGCGAGUGCUCGACCAGAAAUUGUUGAUGCCAUUUUACCUGAGGUGAAGCAACAAGGUCAGAUUGGGUAUCUCAACUGUUCGGUAAUAAACCUGAAUCCGUCAUCAGCAGUAGUAAGUAUACCAAUUUCUUUUUAAUUAAUUAUUUAUUUAUUUAUUUUUAAUUGAUAAAGGUCUAUUAAGACUUGUAUUACUUAUUGAGUAAAUCGAUUAACAGUAGUGCAGACAUGUGUUCAUCCUAAAAUAAACUCACAAAAUAUGGCAAACAUGUUAUAAUUGUUUAUAAACUUCUAAAUUGAUAAAGGUCUAUUAAGACUUGUAUUACUUAUUGAGUAAAUCGAUUAACAGAAGUGCAGACAUGUGUUCAUCCUAAAAUAUACUCACAAAAUAUGGCAAACAUGUUAUAAUUGUUUAUAAACUUCUAAAUUGAUUGAGUGUUGGUGUUUUAACGUCUCUUUUAAGCGCUUCUUUUAAGCGCCAUUUUUUGGGGCUAUUUCGAGGGGUCAGUUUUAAUUGGUGGCGAAAUCACAACAUCAGUGUUGCCUUACUAGUGAUCACAGAACUACUUAGACCACUUGGCCACCGAGGCCCCCUAAACUUCUCGAUAAAAUUAUCUUUAGUUAUAUUUAUUCUACAUAACAGUUCGUGAAAAUAUAACUUCAAAAUAUAUCUCUAUGUAUUACAGCUACAAUGGGUUAAACAAACAACACCAUCAGGAACACCAUUACUAAUAUCAUCCAAUGAAAAGAUCCAUGUUAAUGAUGUAGUUGAAGGUCAUUCGAAAUAUUAUGUAAAAAAAACUGUAUAUAAUAACAAGGAACAGUACCAACUUGUAAUCAGGGCAUUGACUGAAAAUGACGCUGGCUCUUACACAUGUAUGAUCAGACUCGCCAAUCAGAACUAUUUACAAUGGCCGAAAAAGCUUGGUCUUCUAACUGUCCUGAGUGAACAAAUGAGUAAGUAAUUAUAACAAUACGUGCACAUACUGCUAUUUCUGAGU